CACGUAGGGGGCGAGCGUUGUCCGGAUUUAUUGGGCGUAAAGAGCUCGUAGGCGGCUCGGUAAGUCGGGUGUGAAAUUUCGAGGCUCAACCUCGAAACGCCACCCGAUACUGCUGUGGCUAGAGUCCGGUAGGGGAGCGUGGAAUUCCUGGUGUAGCGGUGAAAUGCGCAGAUAUCAGGAGGAACACCGGUGGCGAAGGCGGGUCUCUGGGCCGUAACUGACGCUGAGGAGCGAAAGCGUGGGGAGCGAACAGG
rnacentral:rRNA from 1 species